rnacentral:rRNA from 1 species
CAAUAGCGUAUAUUAAAGCUGUUGCGGUUAAAAAGCUCGUAGUUGGAUUUCUGUCAAGGACAACUGGUCCGCCCUCCGGGUGAGCACAUAGUUUGGUCUUGGCAUCUUGCUGGAAACUGUUGCUGCACUUGGUUGUGUGGCGCAGCAUCCAGCACUUUCACUUUGAGGAAAUUGGAGUGUUUCAAGCAGGCACAUGCCUUUGGACACAGUAGCAUGGAAUAAUUAGAUUGGGCUUUUGCUCCCAUUUGUCGGUUUCUGGAGCUGAGGUGAGAAUUAAUGGGGAUUGUUGGGGGCAUCCGAAUUUAGCCGUCAGAGGUGAAAUUCUUGGAUCUGCUAAAGACGGACAACUGCGAAAGCGUUUGCCCAGGAUGUUUUCAUUGA